GCGCGAUGGCUUGCGCAGGAAGCAGUGGCUGCAUAACGUUGGCCGAAAUAACUCUGUUCCGCCAAAGAACAGUGUUUGUGAGGUUCAUACUGUGAGACGUUCAACAUAGCAUAAAUGGGAGUGUUGUCGUUGUGCCACGGGAUGUCCCUACACUUGCAAAAACAUGGUGCUGACCGUUUUGCCAAACCUGCUGAAGUACUUGAGCAAGAAACUGCCAAAAAAAACGCAAAAGGCAAGGAACAGUUAUAGAAGCCACCGUUCCAUUGAAGAAAAGUGGUGCAGCACUCGAGAAGUUGGAAGCAAGCCUGCAGGUGGAAGAAACAAUAGGUCUGACCGCCGUCUUGGUGAGGUGCUCUGCAACUGCUGGGAACUGAAGGCCAUUGGGUAAUUGAGUGAGUCAUUUGGGAGGGAGUGGCCGAAUACUGCACCAGGGAGGCCAAUUCCUGUUCUGGUGAGGGAGUGUCUUGUUGAAGCUUAGUGGGCCUUUCUAAUUUGGUUGUACAUGGAUUAGUAUAGCCCCACUCGCUCUCAGCAUCCUUUGCCGGUGACAGGCGUCACUUCAAGCCUGCAGAUGUUGUGCACUGGAGGAGGUGAAUUUCAAGCUCACCAUCGUCCAAAAAAAGAAAAAAAAAGCACCUUGUAGAAGGAUUCGAACUUCUGACUAUGGCAACCGAGCAUUCGACAUAGCUCAGUCAGAUAAUCCCAUAGGCGGCGAGGCUACCUUAUCGCCGACAAGUACAGCCCAGAGGGCCCUACAUGCCUAAACACUUCUUUGAUUUAUCCGUGAUAUGUGUUUAUGAUAGAAGUGAUAGAAGGGUAACUCAAUAUAGAACGAUUUCUAAAUGGUUCUGGCCUCGUAGUUACAGAAUUGCGCUUGCGCAGACAGCCAUGAACUCGGCUAGGCAAACCCUACAGGCGUACCGAUGACCAUUCACAGUUGCGAAUAGAUGCUCAUGAUGGCAGGAGUACAAACGGAAACCCACGAAAACGAAUAUAAGUACAAAUGUAAAAGAAAUAACUGGAUGCAAACUACGACUUUAUUUUUUACUUGAUGAAAAUCUGUAUGUGAACUUGGUACUAUCUGUAUGCAAUAUUGCUCAGUUCCUGUUAAAGUUCCUGUUAGAGUCGGUAAAUCUUUAAACGCCAUGCUUCAUUGUCCAACUGCGCUGUGGUCUUUGUAAGCAUUAAAAAAUCAGAAUGUCCUUGCUUAUCAAAUGGCAGAGUUUGUCAGUAAGGCAAUGCCCUCUCUUGUUUACAACAAGAUAGUCAUCUUUGAAAUGGAGGAAGGCAGGACAUUUCCCAGUUGCAGCAUUUUUCUUGCUGGACUUCUGCACAAGAGAUGCGAUUUCCAAUCACAGCAAGACGUGCAGGAGUUUCUAGCAUGUGCAGAGAGCCUCGCAACACGCUGUGGAAUUGGAAAAGUAUGCGACUUUGAAGCAUUACAGGUGGCCAAGAUCACCAAAACAUCUCGGCAUUGCUUGUUCUCCUCUGCUUGCAAUGCGUCCUUGCCACCUUCACCACGAGGUAUUUGCCUCUUCACCCAUGUAUUACUAGGUAUUUUACAAGUAUGCAUUCCAUAUGAAUGCCCCAUUCAGAUGAUACCUUUGGAUAGAGCAAAAAUGGCCAAGUCGUGGUUUUCUUUCACAUUUUUUUUGUUGUUGCUUCAGUCGCCUCCAGUCGUCCAAAUCAGCGAAGCUUUGCUUGUAGGAAAAUCAGAAGCCUUCUUGUAGUUCGCUUGCCGAGUUAGAAAAAAAAAAAGCUCUGUGCCCACUAGCAAGAACUGCUGCUCAAUGGCUAAAGUGGGUUUCAUGCACCUUCAGGAGGAAGAAAAAUAAACUUCUGUCUCUGCAUGAUGCACUACAAAGGCUACCAGAUGCCAGUUCCAAUAUCAAGGUAUCUUUUUGAGCAAAAGGUUUGCCUGUCACGCUUCACUUUAACUAUAGCACCCUUCAUAGUGCACUGAUUCAAUAACUCAUGUGUACGCUAUUUUUCAGCUGAACGGGCUCCCAAGAAAGCAACAAGCUGCUGUGAGAGCCUGUUUUGAGGCCUCUAAGCGGAAGUCUUUGUGAGGAUACCGCUAUAACAGAGAGUGGCUUUUGGAAUGCAUAAUCCUAAGAAUGAAAAGCCCUCGACUGUACCAGUACCUGCGGGCCCACAAAAUCCUUGUCCCUCCCAGCCGUGCCUGCCUACAGGAAGUACAUUAGGCUAUGUGGUUGCAUAUUUUGAAAACUAUGAAAACCAAGUGAUAUUUUUUUGCUUACAAGGAUUUAAAGCAUCAUUCAGCUUUAAUGACAAGCUUUUAGAGUCAGUAAAGCUUUGGGAGUCGGUAAAAAUAAAAGCUCAAGAAAUGAAUGAAAUGAAAAGGCACGGUGGCCUUGUGGUGGACGAAAUGAAACUUUCUACACAUCUUGAUAUGUGAUCUUCCGGUCAUAUUGAAGGCUUUGUUUAUUUAGGAAAGUUUACUGAGGAUUGCGACAAGCACACAAAAGCCGAUCACGGACUGGUUUUCAUAUUCCAGCCGUUGAGCAAAUCGACUCAAGUUAUUGGUAUGCAGCAUUCACUAAAGCUCCCGCAGCAAAUAAGGUUUGCGGAUUUGUUUUCUGUGCUUUUUUUUUUUCAGCUGUAUUUGCUUCUCGGGGAAAUGUGAAAUUCAGGGUACUGGCAAAAAUUCUUUUGGAAGCGACAAUCCUGUGUGAACAGGCGGGUCUACAUGUAGACUAUAUCUGCUCUGAUGGCACUGACUGGAACUGCUUAAUGUGGAGUGCUUUUGGUCCACGUGACAAUUUCAAGGAUGUGCAGUGCAAGGUCAUCCAUCCUUCUGACACUAGCAGGUUCCUACACUUUGUCUCAGAUUUCGCAUACCUCAUUAAACGCUUGCGAAAUGCAACGAUAGAAACAGGAUUCAACACUCAAAAUGGAACAGUAGACUUCUUAUUCAAUUAUCUCAAUUAUCUGUGAAUUAUUAAUGAUACCUUUUGUAUAAUUCUAGUUUGUGAUUAACAUUCUCAUAACUUAAAAAUUUUCAGGCCCACUGAGAGCAUGCAUCUACAAUGUGGAAAGUAGAAAGCAACACUGUCACCUUGAAGGUUGCACCAAAGCUUACAAGGACCCAUAUAUUCCAAAAUGGAUUUGUAAAUAUGAGUGUGGAUUUGGCUUUUCUUGUUUUCAGUGCUGCAGUUGUACAUGCCAUAGAUUUGCACAAAGAAAAAAAAAAAUCGAAAAUCACUAUCCUGACAUUGACCCAACAAGGACCUUCAUCAAUAUUAUGGCUAACUUAAUCGUUACCAUGACAUCUAAAUUUCCAGCUGAAGCUUUAAGGUAGCUUUAAGAUGAAUAUCUUGUCCCACCCAUGUGUACAGAUAUGAAUUCCAAGAUUUUGUUUCAUGCUAUCGUUCCAGACCAGGCAGUGCAAAGGAGGCCACUCUUGACCAUAUGCUGGAGUUUUUGGAUUCAUGGGAGGAUCAUUCAAAAGGACUUGGGUUCCUCAGCAAGCACAUUUCAGUAGGUCUGUGUGUAACGCUUCGGACAACAAAGGACCUGUUGAGGUAUCUGACAGAGAAAGCGGGGUUCAACUAUUUCAUGGCUUCCCACCUCAGCCAAGAUUGUCUUGAGCGGUCUUUUGGGAUUGUUAGACAGGCAGGGGGUGCCAAUGAUCACUUUACGCCCGCUUAGUUUGUGGUAAUCUUGAGGCAUUUUUAAUUUGAUUUCUCUUCCACUUUGCUUGCUUUUUGUCAGAUCAUAUGUAUUCAAAGUGUAAAAACACAGGCUUCCGAGAGGAAUGGGAACUCCAUCGAGGCACGCUUGCAACGUGGUGUCGCAGCCAAUCGGAAUUUAGUUGCUGCGACAGACGUGGGACACCGGCUUUUUCACUCAAUGAGCCAUUUGACGCUUUCGCAUCAAAAGUACAUAAUAGUCUACAUUUAACUGUUCAUGUAACUGCUGCUUAUCUACUUUUAGGUGAGAAGUCCGAAAGGCGGUAACGUGUCUGAUGGUGUACUGGAAUCCCUACUGUCCAUAGAGCAGCUGCUUCCCGAGAGCGGUUAGCAGACCGAGGCUGCAGACAACACAAAUGUCCUUUCAGAAGCAGUGAAAAUAUCUGUGGAGCACAUUUCCUACAACACCGAAAAAAGUGAUUCCCACCUAGUCGAUUUCAUAGCCGCGGGCUAUGUAGUAAGGAAGCAGAUUCUGUGAAUCAGUUGUGAACGAUGCAAGGCAGCUUGUCUCAUCACCAAAGACAAUGUGGCCCCAAAUCUGCCGGCGGAUGCCUCUUUGCAGUGGGACCUGGGUGGACUUCUUUAUGCAUCACAUACUCUGUACGACUUGAUUCAGACGCUUGAGAACAAGCUACCUAUUUAGCACAGCUUGCCUCCCCGCAGUAUCUGUUACAGACACGUGGCAAAAGAUUGGGCAGGCAUCACAGGUCGGCUACGGUGAGCAUGCUGUUACACUGUUACAUCUGUUGUACGCUUAUAUUGCCUACUGUGGGUUCAUUUUUUUUAAUGGAGUCAACCAAAAGGACAAAAAGAAGCCAAGCGGGUUAACCCUGUGUUCUGUGGAUUGCUUCUUGCUGCAAAGUUCAAGUAAACUUGUUUUUUCCAU